GAUCCUGGCUCAGAUUGAACGCUGGCGGCAGGCCUAACACAUGCAAGUCGAGCGGUAUGAAGAGAGCUUGCUCUCUGAUUCAGCGGCGGACGGGUGAGUAAUGCCUAGGAAUCUGCCUGAUAGUGGGGGACAACGUUUCGAAAGGAACGCUAAUACCGCAUACGUCCUACGGGAGAAAGCAGGGGACCUUCGGGCCGUUGCGCUAUCAGAUGAGCCUAGGUCGGAUUAGCUAGUUUGG
rnacentral:rRNA from 1 species